rnacentral:rRNA from 1 species
UCCCGCAACGAGCGCAACCCUUGUGUUUAGUUGACAAACAGGUACAAGCCGUGCACUCUAGACAGACUGCCGUGGACAACACGGAGGAAGGUGGGGAUGACGUCAAAUCAUCAUGCCCCUUAUGAUCUGGGCUACACACGUGCUACAAUGGCCGGUACAACGGGCAGCGAAGGAGCGAUCCGGAGCGAAUCCUAAAAAGCCGGUCCCAGUUCGGAUUGCAGGCUGAAACUCGCCUACAUGAAGUCGGAGUCGCUAGUAAUCGUGAAUCAGAAUGUCACGGUGAAUACGUUCCCGGGCCUU